rnacentral:rRNA from 1 species
UACAGAGGGUGCGAGCGUUGUCCGGAAUCACUGGGCGUAAAGGGCGCGUAGGUGGCGACCCAAGUCGAUGGUGAAAGCUCGUCGCUCAACGACGAGUCGGCCACCGAUACUGGGUUGCUCGAGCACUGUAGAGGCAGAUGGAAUUCCGGGUGUAGCGGUGGAAUGCGUAGAGAUCCGGAAGAACACCGGUGGCGAAGGCGGUCUGAUC